UGGGGAAUAUUGGACAAUGGGCGAAAGCCUGAUCCAGCCAUGCCGAGUGUGUGAAGAAGGUCUUCGGAUGGUAAAGCACUUUAAGUUGGGAGGAAGGGCAUUAACCUAAUAAGUUAGUGUUUUGACGUUAACGACAGAAUAAGCACCGGCUAACUCUGUGCCAGCAGCAGCGGUAAUACAGAGGGUGCAAGCGUUAAUCGGAAUUACUGGGCGUAAAGCGCGCGUAGGUGGUUUGUUAAGUUGGAUGUGAAAUCCCCGGGCUCAACCUGGGAACUGCAUUCAAAACUGACUGACUAGAGUAUGGUAGAGGGUGGUGGAAUUUCCUGUGUAGCGGUGAAAUGCGUAGAUAUAGGAAGGAACACCAGUGGCGAAGGCGACCACCUGGACUAAUACUGACACUGAGGUGCGAAAGCGUGGGGAGCAAACA
rnacentral:rRNA from 1 species